rnacentral:sRNA from 1 species
UUCUUUCUGAAACAGAGAAAAUGUCCCCUGAAGACAGAGCAAAAUGCUUUGAAAAGAAUGAGGUAAGAGAACUUUCAGAGCAUUGCCUUUAAAUAACUCUAGAGAUUUUUGUGCUAAUUAUUUUCUUUCUUCCGCAGGCCAUACAGGCAGCCCAUGAUGCCGUGGCACAGGAAGGCCAAUGUCGGGUAGAUGACAAGGUGAAUUUCCAUUUUAUUCUGUUUAACAACGUGGAUGGCCACCUCUAUGAACUCGAUGGACGAAUGCCUUUUCCGGUGAACCAUGGUGCCAGUUCAGAGGACACCCUGCUGAAGGUCAUCUUUGGAAUGCAUCUCUUCUUAAUGGGCCUCACAAUUCUUUGGCCAAAUUUUCUGUUCUAAAGUGCUAACACUCUUCCAGGACAGCCAGCAUUAGUUGCCUGGGUUAAUAGCAGUCUUUAGGGCUGCAAGAUCCUCUUAGUAACUCUAUCUACCUUAUUUUAUUGCGAGUGGUUUUAAACAGGGCUUCAGAGACACCCUGAGUAAUCUGUUUCAUGUGCUGUCUUUAGUCUACAGUUAGAAUUAGCCUGAAAGCUGUUGCUUUGCUUCCUGGUAGGAUUAAGGUGACCAUUGUCCUCUC